rnacentral:lncRNA from 1 species
UUUAGAAGUGUGGAGAAAGACUUGUUGAAAUUGGGUCCCAGAUGGGCUAAGAACUCGGAAACAUUACGUUAAACCACUAAAUGACAUAUCUAGUAUUGUUGGGGGAUAUAAUAUGUUAGAAUCGAAUAAAUUUAAUUGAUUACAAGUUCUAGAGAUGAUUAAAGAGUGUUUAGAAGUGUGGAGAUAGAUUUGUUGAAAUUGGGUCCCAAAUACGCAAAGAACUCGGAAACAUUGC